CCUCCUGGGAAACAAGAAACCUUCAGCAAAUGCCCUGUUCUGUGUCACAUCUGCAUGGCCUUUUGAGGAACGGCUAAAUGACACCCCAACUUCACAGUAUUAUGCAUUGUCAUUCAGAAUACAGAUAUUUGUUUUGAGUGUGCCUCCCUGUAGGUGGGCUGUACCUCCUGUCUGUGCGGCUCUGUAAUGCCAGACCUGCAAUGUCCCCAAUGAAACCUGUUUUAUGAACCUGGGUCUAUUUGUGGAUUAGAGUUGCAGUGGAUCUGUAUAGAUUCUGC
rnacentral:lncRNA from 1 species